rnacentral:misc_RNA from 1 species
GGCAGUUGGUAUUUAGCAGUAGGGAGACAUAACUUCAAGGUUUUUGUGUGUGAACUCAACUUAGUGAGUGUACGUUAAAUGUUGAAAUGAAACUAAUAUUAGAAUGCUGAUAAAUAUGGCGCUUUUCUCCUAGUGCCUUAUUUACACGAUUGCAUGUUGAUAGGGACCAAUCAUCUAAAGACCAAAGAGUUGUUUUCUUCUUUGGAAGAGCUGUCAUGAUGAUGGGGAAGUUGGGUGAUGGGAGUUGGCACUUUUGAAUGUGUGUGCGGGUGAUUAAUAUCACAAGAAGAAAUAUCGCUGUUGUUCGGUCUUGUGGUUGUGGUGUGUUACCGUGCCUUGUGCGAGUAGGGGUAAACUAUAGGCUCGGUCGUCACCGAGUGUUUAAAUAUUCCUAUUUCGCCAUUUUUUAUUCCAUAAUAGACGAAAGAAAAAACCAUUUUCGUUUGAUUUUUUGACUAUCGCGUUUGUUUACAUUCUUCUUUGAAAAAUCAAUCGGGAAAAACAAAAAAAAUCAUGUUUAGCUAACAAAUAGGCCUUUUGAUGGAACUGACUAAGAAACAGAAAAUACCAAUAAAAAACAGUGAAACCAUGGAAGCUGUUACAGAUCCAGAUAGGAGGGCUCGUCUCCUCAAACUGGAAGAACGAGUUUUCAAUCCUAGGGAUAUUCUUAAUGCUGAUUGCCUUCUUGAUGCUGUGCAAUCGAUGGUGUAUGACAGUGAUCAUCCAACCAUAAAGCGCAUGAAAAACGUUGAAGCCUUUAUCAACCGCUAUGCUAAAGUUGCUGAUGAGAUUAGCAGGUUGAGAGUAAAAGUGGAUGAUUUUUUGGUCAUCAAAGUCAUAGGAAGGGGAGCUUUUGGUCAAGUCCAAUUAGUAAGACAUAAAUCAACCAAGAAAGUUUAUGCUAUGAAGCUUCUUAGCAAAUUUGAAAUGAUAAAAAGAUCAGAUUCAGCAUUCUUCUGGGAAGAACGGGACAUUAUGGCGCACGCCAAUUCUGAGUGGAUUGUAAGACUUCACUUUGCCUUCCAAGAUACAAAGUAUCUUUAUAUGGUUAUGGACUACAUGCCAGGCGGUGAUUUGGUCAAUCUCAUGUCGAAUUACGAUGUUCCCGAGAAGUGGGCAAAAUUUUAUUGCGCUGAAGUGGUUCUAGCCUUGGAGGCUAUUCAUAACAUGGGAUUUGUUCAUCGAGACGUUAAGCCAGACAACAUGUUAUUAGAUGCUCUUGGCCACUUGAAGUUAGCCGAUUUUGGCACUUGCAUGAAAAUGGACGAGGAUGGACUCGUUCGAUCAGACACCGCCGUCGGUACACCGGAUUACAUUUCACCCGAAGUUCUUAAGUCACAAGGAGGAGAAGGAUUAUACGGGCGAGAGUGUGAUUGGUGGUCCGUUGGAGUUUUCCUAUAUGAAAUGUUGGUGGGAGAUACACCGUUCUACGCCGAGAGCUUAGUGGGAACCUACGGGAAGAUCAUGGAUCACAAGAAUUCUCUUUCGUUCCCUGAUGAUGUUGAAAUUAGCCCUGCUGCCAAAAGCUUAAUCUGCUCUUUCCUGACUGACAGGACGCAGCGUCUAGGGCGUAGUGGUGUUGAAGAGAUUCGAAAUCAUAAAUUCUUCGUCAAUGAUCAGUGGACUUUCGACACUAUUCGAGACUGUGUCCCACCGGUAGUACCGGAUUUGACUGGUGAUGACGAUACAAGCAAUUUUGACGACGUUGAGAACGACGACGUACCAGAAGAAAAUUUUCCUGUUCCUAAAGCCUUCGCCGGAAAUCAUUUACCCUUUGUUGGGUUCACGUAUUCGAAAGAUUAUCAAUUACUGACUGGAGGUCUAAGACGAGCAAGCACCAACGGUGGAAUAGAUAGAGUAGACGGGGAAGCAGUAGGGAAUGAAACUGGCGCUCAGCGCAAAGUACCUGACUUGGAAGAGAUCGUGAACAAGGAAAAGCGCCACAUAGCUGAGCUAGAGCACAAAUAUACGUUGACGCUACAUCAAUUAGAUUUAGCUACAACCCGUGAGGAGCAAUUGCGAAACGAGGGCUGCGAGUUGGAACGAAAUCUUGCCCUAAUCAAGCACGAACUUAAAGAAGCACAGCGACGGUCGGAAAAUGAUGCGGAAAAUAGAAAAAAGUUGGAGCAGAAUAUCGCUGAGCUCAAGCGUAAAUUGGAUGAAGAACAGAAUCGCCGAACACGUGAUAAUAGCAAUUCACAAGCGGUUGCCGAACGUAUAAGCUCACUCGAAAAACAGUUGAUGGAGGCCAAUGAAAAGUUGAAGCAAGAAGUUGACAGCCACAACAAAACGAAAAAGCAAAAUGCUGAAUUCACUGUACUAGCUUCUGGUCGAGAGCAUACCUUACUAGAAAUGCAGGAUAAAGUGGCUGCAUUACAACGAGCCCGAGAUGCACUAGAAGCUGAGGCAGCCGCCCUUCAGGCUCAAUUAGAUCAGGAGAGAGCGACGAGAGAGCAAGAGGCUGACCGCCAACAAGAAAUGGAAACCAGACGUCAGGCACUGAUAAGCGAGCUGGAGCGAACCAAAGAACGCCAGGCUUGUAACCUUGCCGAGAACAACCGGCUGUCGGAAAGGAUCGUCGAAAUGGAGAAACGUUCUGCAUCUCUCGAACUGGAACUGAAUGCUAUGACGUCCAAAUAUGAGCGAGAAAAACGUGCUCAUCAGGAAACAGAACAGAGUCGUUCCGGCAAUCAAGAAGAGGCUAGUGCGGAAGUGGUCAAAGCGUUGCAGUUGAAAUUGCAAGAGGAAAAAGCAUCCCGGCAAAAGGCGGAGAAUCAAUGGCAAGAACGCGAACGUCAGAUUUCGAUGCUUUCGGUCGACUAUCGGCAAAUUCAGCAGCAGCUCAAUAAACUGGAAGGCGAUCAUCGGCAGGAAGUUGACAAAACCAAAGGACUGAUUCUUCAACUUGAGCGAGAGUCUCAAAAGCGGUCACUUCUACAGAAUGAUCAAAGCGUUCUGUCUGCCGAAAUGGCUGUCCUUCGUAGUCGUGAGCGGCAACUUCAACGCGAGCUGGAAGCAGCUCGUGACGUGGCUCGUAGUCUGGAAGAAGAACUACACAAAUUGCGAACCAUCAAGUCGGUUGACGAUUUACAAAUGCGUGAACUCCAAGAUCAGUUGGAAGCUGAGCAAUACUUUUCUACUUUGUACAAGACGCAAGUAACUGAGUUGCGCGAAGAGGUGGAUGAGAAGACCAAGCAGGUUAGUGAACUAGAGGACGAGCGAGCAAGCAUCACCCACCAGCUCCAGUUAUCUCUUGCCCGGGCGGAUUCCGAAGCUUUAGCAAGAGCUAUCGCAGAAGAGACUGUAGCCGAAAUGGAGAAGGAAAAGACGAUGAAAGAUUUGGAAAUUAAAGAUUUGGUGGCUAGACAUCGAGCAGAGAUCAUCAACAAGGAGGUAGCGCUCAACAGUCUGCGCGAUCGAGAGAAUGAAUUGAAGAAGACUUUCGACUUAGUUACCCAGGAGAACCAAGAGCUGGGCAAUAAAUUGAAAAGUGCCCAGGAAGACUUAGCACAGGCAUCCACGGCUUCCGUGGACGAGGUGGAGCGGUUACGGAAACAGCUCAAGCAGGAACAACUGCUCAAGAUGCAAGCGGUCAACAAACUUGCCGAAAUUAUGAAUCGUAAAAUUCCUGACGGCCGUAAUCCUAAGAAAAAUGCAGGUGGUGGAGCUGAUCUGCGACGCAAAGAGAAGGAAUGUCGUAAACUACAACAGGAGCUCACUCAGGAACGUGAAAAAUAUAAUCAAGUGGUGGCCAAAUCGCAAAAAGAAACGCAGGACUUACAAUCGUCACUUUAUGAAGAGAAUCAACUCCGAAUCAAACUGCAAAUGGAGGUCGACAGCAAGGAUUCCGAAAUUGAACAACUAUCUCAAAAGUUGGCUUCGGCAUCAGCUGAUACCGUAUCAAAUAUUAGUAGCGGAGCAGAGAACGAAUCAGAAGAGGGAGUUCAAGAUUCUUGGUUAGAAGGCUGGCUUUUUAUUCCUUCAAAACAAAAUAUUCGGCGCCAUGGUUGGCGAAAACAAUACGUGGUCGUGUCGUCCAAGAAGAUCUUCUUUUAUAAUUCAGAGAGUGACAAGCAGAACGCCGAUCCCGUUCUCAUCCUAGACUUGAACAAAGUCUUCCACGUCCGUUCUGUUACACAGGGCGAUGUCAUACGCGCUGAUGCCAAAGAGAUUCCCCGUAUUUUGCAGAUUCUCUACGCCGGCGAAGGCGAAUCUCGUAAACCAGACGAGAGCACCCCACCGCCGGAUUUAGUCGGUCGUGAGGAAAAACCUGGAACUGUUAACCACAAAGGCCACGAACUUGUGGCUAUUAGUUUCCACAUGCCAACCACUUGUGAAGUGUGCUCAAAACCUUUGUGGCAUAUGUUCCGACCCCCACCUGCCCUUGAGUGCCGCCGGUGUCGCAUCAAAGUUCACAAAGAACAUUUGGAUAAGCGUGAGGAAAUCAUCGCUCCCUGCAAAGUCCACUACGAUCCUAAUACAGCCAAAGAGAUGCUCUUAUUAGCAGGGACGUUGGAGGAACAACAGCAGUGGAUAUCGCGGCUGUCGAAAAAGAUCCAGAAAUUUGGCUAUAAAGCCAAUUCAGCCGCAAUGGGCGGUGCUGAAGGAGCACGCGUCUCGCCAAGGGAGUCGACGCGAUCAGCUUACCGUCCUUACGUACAGCAAAGGUCGGCUACUUUGCCACCAAACAGCGUUCAAUCAGGAGUGCGCAACAGCAAGUGAAAGCCUUCAAAGGUUGCCAAUAUUUUUUCAUACAUGGUACACCUUUCUACUACAGCAGGUGUUGAAGAAUGAUGUUCAUUAUUGUUCUUUUUUGCGUAAUAACAAGUUGUACCGUCAGUAUCCCUGUGGCGGCAUCUUUACUAUAUAGCAAAACCUUUCUCGAUCCUCUUUAUUUUUUUUUUCCUUGUUGUCCUUUUUUCUGUCUUCGAAUUGUGCCAACUUGCAUCCUCUCCUCUACACUGCCUUACCCUCCUUCAUAUUUUCCCACUUCCCGUUGUAGUGUUUUACAAAAUUCCCAACUCCCAUUUCCUGUUGAAUGAUUAUUUAUUCUAUAUUUCUUUUGUUUCCUUUUUUGGGAGGUUCUUUUUUUUUUCUUGUUCCGCCAAAGGCCCGACACAAGACACAAGUGACCUUCAAUGUUGCUGUCUACCCACCCACCUCUUCACACUAUUUUUGAACCUUGGAACAGUUUUAUGUCUUGGGCAUCCCCAUCUCAACCUAUGGAAAUGCAUGGUGCAUAUGUAAUUACGCAGGAAAAAGGACGUAGAAGAAGAGACAUUUGAAAGAUAGACAGAGAGAGAACGUGACGUAUACACCGGGAACGUUUGCUUCAAAUGGGUUGUUGAACCUCCCUUUGAUACGACAGUUGCGUCAUUUACAUUCCUGAUUUGCCUACGCAUGUAUGUGUAUCUGUGAGGAGCUGGCAUUUUUUUUUUUUUCUUGGUGGGGUCUUUCUGAAAAAAGGAAGGAAAAAAGCACCGAUUUAAAUAAUAUAGUCAUUGGGAUGGAUAACGAAUAACAGAUGAGGGAUCGGCAGUAAGACAAAAUAGAUGCUAACUGUUACAACGACAAGACGAGAAAAUUGCCGAUUUAUAUUGUGCCUUGUAAUUGCGUUUUGAAAUUGUUUUCAACUUUAACUUUUCGUGUUUCUUCCUCCCAAUUAUAGAUUUUUUUUUUGUCCGUGCGUUUGAGGAAAAUCGAGCUUUUGUUUCCAUGCUUAUAAUAAUUGGGCAAUUCAAUCACGUUUAAACCUAGCCGACUGCUGUUGCAUUCGGUUCGGUAUUCCUUGGAGAAAUCAACUAAAAUAUCUGACAGGACAGCCCUCAUUGCCUUUAUUAAGACGCUGGUCGCGCUUUUUUUUAACUAACAUUUUAAAAUCAUUCUACUUGAAUUGGUGGCAAAAAAGAGACUAGAACGGAAACAUGCUUUUUCCUCAAUCCCAAACUUUAAACACUUCUCGAUUCUCUCCCCCAAAGCCAUGAAUUUGUAUCCUCAUCUUCUAUAGGUAUAAAUCUUGAAAACCACCAUUUUCACGUGCAACACUCUUGAAGAUGUGAGUGUACAGGAUGAAUUGCGUAUGCUCUCGUGUGUUUGUGUAAUAUAACUUUUGAUUUCUAAAUUUCGAA